AGUCGAGAAUUUUUCUCAAUGGGGGCAACCCUGAAGGAGCGACGCCGCGUGGAGGAUGAAGGUUUUCGGAUUGUAAACUCCUGUCAUUGGUGAACAAGGGUCUGCGGUUAACUGCCGUGGAUUUUGAUAGUAGCCGAAGAGGAAGGGACGGCUAACUCUGUGCCAGCAGCCGCGGUAAUACAGAGGUCCCAAGCGUUGUUCGGAUUCAUUGGGCGUAAAGGGUGCGUAGGCGGCGGGGUAAGUCUGAUGUGAAAGGCUGGGGCUCAACCUCAGUAUGGCAUUGGAUACUGCCUUGCUAGAGUACUGGAGAGGAGACUGGAAUUUACGGUGUAGCAGUGAAAUGCGUAGAGAUCGUAAGGAAGACCAGUGGCGAAGGCGAGUCUCUGGACAGUUACUGACGCUGAGGCACGAAGGCCAGGGGAGCAAA
rnacentral:rRNA from 1 species